UGAAUCAGAAACUAGUUUCCCUAGAAAAUAGGAAAACUACUUUGUCAAAAUCAUGAUUGGUUAAGAAAUAGAUUCUAGAAAAUCAAAAACCAAAAACUACUUUAAAAACUACAAACAAUCAACCUAUAUAUAUUCAUGAGGACGAGGAGUGAGGAGUGAAGAGGAAAAAAAAAAGGGAAAUUGCAUCCAGUAAACACAAAAAAAAAACAAAAUUCACUAACUAACUAAAAACACCCUCUCUCUCCUACUUUCUCUUCCUAUCUCUCUCUACUC
rnacentral:lncRNA from 1 species